rnacentral:rRNA from 1 species
UACGUAGGGUGCGAGCGUUUGUCCGGAAUUAUUGGGCGUAAAGAACCUGUAGGCGGUCUGUCGCGUCUGCUGUGAAAAUCCGGGGGCUCAACCCCGGACUUGCAGUGGGUACGGGCAGACUAGAGUGUGGUAGGGGAGACUGGAAUUCCUGGUGUAGCGGUGAAAUGCGCAGAUAUCAGGAGGAACACCGACGGCGAAGGCAGCUUACUGGGCCGAUACUGACGCUGAGGCGCGAAAGCCAGGGGAGCGAACGGG